rnacentral:rRNA from 1 species
UACGUAGGGUGCAAGCGUUAAUCGGAAUUACUGGGCGUAAAGCGUGCGUAGACGGUUAGAUAAGUCGGGUGUGAAAGCCCCGGGCUCAACCUGGGAAUUGCAUUCGAGACUGCGUAGCUAGGGUGCGGAAGAGGGAAGCGGAAUUUCCGGUGUAGCGGUGAAAUGCGUAGAUAUCGGAAGGAACACCAGUGGCGAAAGCGGCUUCCUGGUCCAGCACCGACGUUCAGGCACGAAAGCGUGGGGAGCAAACAGG